rnacentral:rRNA from 1 species
GCAAGAUUAAAACUCAAAGGAAUAGACGGGGACCCGCACAAGUGGUGGAGCAUGUGGUUUAAUUCGAAGAUACGCGAAGAACCUUACCUAGCCUUGACAUUGAUAGAAUCUUCCAGAGAUGGAGGAGUGCCUUUAGGGGAACUUGAAAACAGGUGCUGCACGGCUGUCGUCAGCUCGUGUCGUGAGAUGUUGGGUUAAGUCCCGCAACGAGCGCAACCCUCGUCACUAGUUACUAACAGUUAGGCUGAGGACUCUAGUGAGACUGCCUUCGUAAGGAGGAGGAAGGUGAGGACGACGUCAAGUCAUCAUGGCCCUUACGGCUAGGGCAACACACGUGCUACAAUGGUUAGGGCAGUGAGAAGCGAUACCGCGAGGUGGAGCCAAUCUAUAAACCUAAUCUCAGUUCGGAUUGUAGUCUGCAACUCGACUACAUGAAGCUGGAAUCACUAGUAAUCGUAGAUCAGCUAUGCUACGGUGAAUACGUUCCCGGGUCUUGUACUCACCGCCCGUCACACCAUGGGAGUUGAUUUCACCCGAAGCGGGGAAGCUAAACUGGCUACCCUCCACGGUGGAAUUAGCGACUGGGGUGAAGUCGUAACAAGGUA